GAAAGGAGGAGAAAAAAAAAAAAAAAAAAAAAAAAAAAAAAAAGGGGCGGCCACGUCAGCAGCCACGUCAGCAGGCCCGGUCAGCAGUCCCGGCCAACCAGGGCCUGCCACGUGGCAAGACCGCGUCACUCCAAAAGGAGCCACGCUGGCGAUCCGCGUGGGUGCGAUCCGACGGCCCAGAUCAAUCACGCGAUCGGACGGCCCAGAUUCAAUCAAAAACGAACGGCCCAGAUUAAAACAAAAUGAACGGCUGUGAUCAAAAGGCAAGGGGUUAUAAAUAGAACCUCCACACCAGACCACAAACCCUAGC
rnacentral:lncRNA from 1 species